rnacentral:rRNA from 1 species
AUUGAACGCUGGCGGCAGGCCUAACACAUGCAAGUCGAGCGAGCGGCGGACGGGUGAGUAAUGUCUGGGAAACUGCCUGAUGGAGGGGUAUAACUACUGGAAACGGUAGCUAAUACCGCAUACCAUCAGAUCUGCCCAGAUGGGAUUAGCUAGUAGGUGGGGUAACGGCUCACCUAGUCGACGAUCCCUAGCUGGUCUGAGAGGAUGAUCAGCCACAUUGGAACUGAGACACGGCCCAAACUCCUACGGGAGGCAGCAGUGGGGAAUAUUGCACAAGGGGCGCAAGCCUGAUGCAGCCAUGCCGCGUGUGUGAAGAAGGCCUUCGGGUUGUAAAGCACUUUCAGCGGGGAGGCGUUACCCGCAGAAGAAGAACCGGCUAACUCCGUGCCAGCAGCCGCGGUAAUAC